GACGAACGCUGGCGGCGUGCCUAAUACAUGCAAGUAGAACGCUGAAGGAGGAGCUUGCUUCUCUGGAUUAGUUGCGAACUGGUGAGUAACGCGUAGGUAACCUGCCUGGUAGCGGGGGAUAACUAUUGGAAACGAUAGCUACUACCGCAUAAGAGUAGAUGUUGCAUUACAUUUGCUUAAAAGGUGCAAUUGCAUCACUACCAGAUGGACCUGCGUUGUAUUAGCUAGUUGGUGGGGUAACGGCUCACCAAGGCGACGAUACAUAUCCGACCGGAGAGGGGGAUCGGCCAAAAUGGGAAUGAGACACGGCCCAGAAUCCUACGGGAGGCAGCAGUAGGGAAACUUCGGCAAUGGACGGAAGACUGACCGAGAAAAGCCGCGUGAGUGCAGAAGGUUUUCGGAUCGUAAAGCUCUGUUGUAAGAGAAGAAAGAGAGUGAGAGUGGAAAGUUCACAGUGUGACGGUAUCUUAACAGAAAGGGACGGCUAACUACGUG
rnacentral:rRNA from 1 species